rnacentral:rRNA from 1 species
UUAGUUGCAGGGUAUAGACCCGAAACCCGGUGAUCUAGCCAUGGGCAGGUUGAAGGUUGGGUAACACUAACUGGAGGACCGAACCGACUAAUGUUGAAAAAUUAGCGGAUGACUUGUGGCUGGGGGUGAAAGGCCAAUCAAACCGGGAGAUAGCUGGUUCUCCCCGAAAGCUAUUUAGGUAGCGCCUCGUGAAUUCAUCUCCGGGGGUAGAGCACUGUUUCGGCUAGGGGGUCAUCCCGACUUACCAACCCGAUGCAAACUGCGAAUACCGGAGAAUGUUAUCACGGGAGACACACGGCGGGUGCUAACGUUCGUCGUGAAGAGGGAAACAACCCAGACCGCCGGCUAAGGUCCCAAAGUCAUAAUUAAGUGGGAAACGAAGUGGGAAGGCUCAGACAGCCAGGAUGUUGGCUUAGAAGCAGCCAUCAUUUAAAGAAAGCGUAAUAGCUCACUGGUCGAGUCGGCCUGCGCGGAAGAUGUAACGGGGCUAAAUUAUGCACCGAAGCCGCGGCAGCGAUAUGUAAAUAUUGUUGGGUAGGGGAGCGUUCUGUAAGCCUGUGAAGGUGACCUGUGAGGGCUGCUGGAGGUAUCAGAAGUGCGAAUGCUGACAUAAGUAACGAUAAUGCGGGUGAAAAACCCGCACGCCGGAAGACCAAGGGUUCCUGUCCAACGUUAAUCGGGGCAGGGUGAGUCGACCCCUAAGGCGAGGCUGAAAAGCGUAGUCGAUGGGCAACGGGUUAAUAUUCCCGUACUGGUGGUAACUGCGAAGGGGGGACGGAGAAAGCUAAAUCAUCCGGGCGACGGUUGUCCCGGUUUAAGCGUGCAGGUGGACUGACCAGGCAAAUCCGGUCGGUUGUUAACACUGAGGCGUGACGACGAGCCACUACGGUGGUGAAGUGAUUGAUGCUCUGCUUCCGGGAAAAGCCUCUAAGCUCCAGGUUGUCAUUAAUCGUACCCCAAACCGACACAGGUGGUCAGGUAGAGAAUACUCAGGCGCUUGAGAGAACUCGGGUGAAGGAACUAGGCAAAAUGGUGCCGUAACUUCGGGAGAAGGCACGCUGGCACUAGGUGAAGUGAUUUACUCAUGGAGCUGAAGCCAGCCGCAGAUACCAGCUGGCUGCAACUGUUUAUUAAAAACACAGCACUGUGCAAACACGAAAGUGGACGUAUACGGUGUGACGCCUGCCCGGUGCCGGAAGGUUAAUUGAUGAGGUCAGCCGCAAGGCGAAGCUUCUGAUCGAAGCCCCGGUAAACGGCGGCCGUAACUAUAACGGUCCUAAGGUAGCGAAAUUCCUUGUCGGGUAAGUUCCGACCUGCACGAAUGGCGUAAUGAUGGCCAGGCUGUCUCCACCCGAGACUCAGUGAAAUUGAACUCGCUGUGAAGAUGCAGUGUACCCGCGGCAAGACGGAAAGACCCCGUGAACCUUUACUAUAGCUUGACACUGAACAUUGAGCCUUGAUGUGUAGGAUAGGUGGGAGGCAACGAAGUGUGGACGCCAGUCUGCACGGAGCCAUCCUUGAAAUACCACCCUUUAACGUUUGAUGUUCUAACCCGGGUCCAUAAUCUGGAUCGGGGACCGUGUCUGGUGGGUAGUUUGACUGGGGCGGUCUCCUCCCAAAGAGUAACGGAGGAGCACGAAGGUUGGCUAAGCAUGGUCGGACAUCAUGCGGUUAGUGCAAAGGCAUAAGCCAGCUUGACUGCGAGAGUGACGGCUCGAGCAGGUACGAAAGUAGGUCUUAGUGAUCCGGUGGUUCUGAAUGGAAGGGCCAUCGCUCAACGGAUAAAAGGUACUCCGGGGAUAACAGGCUGAUACCGCCCAAGAGUUCAUAUCGACGGCGGUGUUUGGCACCUCGAUGUCGGCUCAUCACAUCCUGGGGCUGAAGUAGGUCCCAAGGGUAUGGCUGUUCGCCAUUUAAAGUGGUACGCGAGCUGGGUUUAGAACGUCGUGAGACAGUUCGGUCCCUAUCUGCCGUGGGCGCUGGAAGAUUGAGAGGGGUUGCUCCUAGUACGAGAGGACCGGAGUGAACGCACCACUGGUGUACGGGUUGUGAUGCCAAUUGCAUUGCCCGGUAGCUAAGUGCGGAAGAGAUAACCGCUGAAAGCAUCUAAGCGGGAAACUUGCCUCGAGAUGAGUCUUCCCUGAUUCUUUAAGAAUCCUGAAGGAACGUUUGAGACUAAGACGUUGAUAGGCUGGGUGUGUAAGCGCAGCGAUGCGUUGAGCUGACCAGUACUAAUGAACCGUGAGGCUUAACCUG